UAAAUUGAGAGUUUGAUCCUGGCUCAGGACGAACGCUGGCGGCGUGCCUAACACAUGCAAGUCGAGCGAUGAAACUUCCUUCGGGGAGUGGAUUAGCGGCGGACGGGUGAGUAACACGUGGGUAACCUGCCUCAAAGAGGGGGAUAGCCUCCCGAAAGGGAGAUUAAUACCGCAUAACAUUAUUUUAUGGCAUCAUAAAAUAAUCAAAGGAGCAAUCCGCUUUGAGAUGGACCCGCGGCGCAUUAGCUAGUUGGUGAGGUAAGGGCUCACCAAGGCGACGAUGCGUAGCCGACCUGAGAGGGUGAUCGGCCACAUUGGAACUGAGACACGGUCCAGACUCCUACGGGAGGCAGCAGUGGGGAAUAUUGCGCAAUGGGGGAAACCCUGACGCAGCAACGCCGCGUGAGUGAUGAAGGUUUUCGGAUCGUAAAACUCUGUCUUUAGGGACGAUAAUGACGGUACCUAAGGAGGAAGCCACGGCUAACUACGUGCCAGCAGCCGCGGUAAUACGUAGGUGGCAAGCGUUGUCCGGAUUUACUGGGCGUAAAGAGUAUGUAG
rnacentral:ncRNA from 1 species